rnacentral:rRNA from 1 species
CACUAACUGGAGGACCGAACCGACUAAUGUUGAAAAAUUAGCGGAUGACUUGUGGCUGGGGGUGAAAGGCCAAUCAAACCGGGAGAUAGCUGGUUCUCCCCGAAAGCUAUUUAGGUAGCGCCUCGUGAAUUCAUCUCCGGGGGUAGAGCACUGUUUCGGCAAGGGGGUCAUCCCGACUUACCAACCCGAUGCAAACUGCGAAUACCGGAGAAUGUUAUCACGGGAGACACACGGCGGGUGCUAACGUCCGUCGUGAAGAGGGAAACAACCCAGACCGCCAGCUAAGGUCCCAAAGUCAUGGUUAAGUGGGAAACGAUGUGGGAAGGCCCAGACAGCCAGGAUGUUGGCUUAGAAGCAGCCAUCAUUUAAAGAAAGCGUAAUAGCUCACUGGUCGAGUCGGCCUGCGCGGAAGAUGUAACGGGGCUAAACCAUGCACCGAAGCUGCGGCAGCGACGCUUAUGCGUUGUUGGGUAGGGGAGCGUUCUGUAAGCCUGCGAAGGUGUGCUGUGAGGCAUGCUGGAGGUAUCAGAAGUGCGAAUGCUGACAUAAGUAACGAUAAAGCGGGUGAAAAGCCCGCUCGCCGGAAGACCAAGGGUUCCUGUCCAACGUUAAUCGGGGCAGGGUGAGUCGACCCCUAAGGCGAGGCCGAAAGGCGUAGUCGAUGGGAAACAGGUUAAUAUUCCUGUACUUGGUGUUACUGCGAAGGGGGGACGGAGAAGGCUAUGUUGGCCGGGCGACGGUUGUCCCGGUUUAAGCGUGUAGGCUGGUUUUCCAGGCAAAUCCGGAAAAUCAAGGCUGAGGCGUGAUGACGAGGCACUACGGUGCUGAAGCAACAAAUGCCCUGCUUCCAGGAAAAGCCUCUAAGCAUCAGGUAACAUCAAAUCGUACCCCAAACCGACACAGGUGGUCAGGUAGAGAAUACCAAGGCGCUUGAGAGAACUCGGGUGAAGGAACUAGGCAAAAUGGUGCCGUAACUUCGGGAGAAGGCACGCUGAUAUGUAGGUGAAGCGACUUGCUCGUGGAGCUGAAAUCAGUCGAAGAUACCAGCUGGCUGCAACUGUUUAUUAAAAACACAGCACUGUGCAAACACGAAAGUGGACGUAUACGGUGUGACGCCUGCCCGGUGCCGGAAGGUUAAUUGAUGGGGUCAGCGCAAGCGAAGCUCUUGAUCGAAGCCCCGGUAAACGGCGGCCGUAACUAUAACGGUCCUAAGGUAGCGAAAUUCCUUGUCGGGUAAGUUCCGACCUGCACGAAUGGCGUAAUGAUGGCCAGGCUGUCUCCACCCGAGACUCAGUGAAAUUGAACUCGCUGUGAAGAUGCAGUGUACCCGCGGCAAGACGGAAAGACCCCGUGAACCUUUACUAUAGCUUGACACUGAACAUUGAGCCUUGAUGUGUAGGAUAGGUGGGAGGCUUUGAAGUGUGGACGCCAGUCUGCAUGGAGCCGACCUUGAAAUACCACCCUUUAAUGUUUGAUGUUCUAACGUGGACCCGUAAUCCGGGUUGCGGACAGUGUCUGGUGGGUAGUUUGACUGGGGCGGUCUCCUCCUAAAGAGUAACGGAGGAGCACGAAGGUUGGCUAAUCCUGGUCGGACAUCAGGAGGUUAGUGCAAUGGCAUAAGCCAGCUUGACUGCGAGCGUGACGGCGCGAGCAGGUGCGAAAGCAGGUCAUAGUGAUCCGGUGGUUCUGAAUGGAAGGGCCAUCGCUCAACGGAUAAAAGGUACUCCGGGGAUAACAGGCUGAUACCGCCCAAGAGUUCAUAUCGACGGCGGUGUUUGGCACCUCGAUGUCGGCUCAUCACAUCCUGGGGCUGAAGUAGGUCCCAAGGGUAUGGCUGUUCGCCAUUUAAAGUGGUACGCGAGCUGGGUUUAGAACGUCGUGAGACAGUUCGGUCCCUAUCUGCCGUGGGCGCUGGAGAACUGAGGGGGGCUGCUCCUAGUACGAGAGGACCGGAGUGGACGCAUCACUGGUGUUCGGGUUGUCAUGCCAAUGGCACUGCCCGGUAGCUAAAUGCGGAAGAGAUAAGUGCUGAAAGCAUCUAAGCACGAAACUUGCCCCGAGAUGAGUUCUCCCUGACUCCUUGAGAGUCCUGAAGGAACGUUGAAGACGACGACGUUGAUAGGCCGGGUGUGUAAGCGCAGCGAUGCGUUGAGCUAACCGGUACUAAUGAACCGUGAG